rnacentral:rRNA from 1 species
UACGUAGGGGGCAAGCGUUGUCCGGAAUCAUUGGGCGUAAAGCGCGCGUAGGCGGCCCGGUCAGUCCGUUGUGAAAGUCAAAGGCUCAACCUUUGAAUGCCGACGGAUACUGCCGGGCUAGAGUCCGGAAGAGGCGAGUGGAAUUCCUGGUGUAGCGGUGGAAUGCGCAGAUAUCAGGAGGAACACCGGUGGCGAAGGCGGCUUGCUGGGCCAGUUCUGACGCUGAGGAGCGAAAGCGUGGGGAGCGAACAGG